CAAGCCAUGCGGCAGAAGCAUCAGCAGCAAAACUGCACUGUUGCAAGUUCAUAUCUGCUCUUUGCACAGUGUUGUACCUUGUUUUGUGAUGGGAAAGCUCACCGAACAGGAGAGUCCACUAUGCAAGGUCAAAAAUAUACAGCAAUCUCCCCAUCAAAAUAAUUGGGUUUACACGAACAGACGAUUUAAAGCAUUGUUGAACAAGCUGACACAGUCAGUCUCCAAAAUAUAGUCAAUUUUAGAAUAUUAGUUUCUUAAUUUUUAUACUGGUAUAAUUUUAAAUAUAUGUCCAACUAAAAUAUCAUAAUAACUAUCAACUUCACCAAUAGCACCAAACAAUUACUACUAAUUAAAGAUAUGACACAUGAAACAUUAAUUAUCAUCAGUUAUGCAACACUUUUCAGGCAUUGUGUAAAUACAUGUAUAUAUACAUACAAGGACAAUUAAAUAUUCUAAUACAGAUUUAUCUUAAGCAUGUAAAUUGAGAAAUGGAAAAUGUAACUGAUGAAAUAUUACAAAUAAAUUAUAAACUAAGUGGUAGCAAAAAUGGGAUAUAGUUGUAUAAUUUAAAAGAAAGUAAAGAUGUAAAAGUGUUAUAACAAACACAAACAUAUUUACAUAAGGACAUAUGACCAGGUGGGUCAUGUCCUACAUUAUAAAGUGAAACCAACAGAGUACUAAAUUUCAAAUGUCAAAAAUAGAUCUAUCAUAUUGUAACUUCUUAUGACAUAUUAGGCUCACUGCAUUUCAAGUAAUUCCUAAAUGUGUUGUAUUGUACAAUGCUUUGUUCCACAAUCUGAAUAUCAAAGUUCAUGGAAUGUCUCCAUUUAUCUCUAUGUGUCUACCCACAUAUCAACUGUCUGAUCACCAGCAAUCUAGCUAAUUACUUUUCUGAAGUCAAUAAAAAAGCCUUGUUUUCAGUG